rnacentral:rRNA from 1 species
CCUACGGGUGGCAGCAGUGGGGGAUAUUGCACAAUGGGGGGAACCCUGAUGCAGCGACGCCGCGUGGGUGAAGAAGCGCCUCGGCGCGUAAAGCCCUGUCAGCCGGGGAGAAAAUGACGGUACCUGAAGCAGAAGCCCCGGCUAACUACGGGCCAGCAGCCGCGGUAAUCCGGAGGGGGCAAGCGUUAUCCGGAUUUACUGGGGGUAAAGGGGGCGCAGACGGGGAUGCAAGCCCGGAGGGAAAGCCCGGGGCCCACCCCCCGGACUGCCGUUGGAACUGGGUGGCUGGAGAGCAGGAGGGGCAGGCGGAAUGCCUGGUGUAGCGGUGAAAUGCGUAGAUAUCAGGAGGAACACCGGUGGCGAAGGCGGCCUGCUGGACUGCAACUGACGUUGAGGCACGAAAGCGUGGGGAGCAAACAGGAUUAGAUACCCGAGUAGUC